UUUACAGAAUAAAAACUUACCCAUAGAAAAUACCACGGACUGUCUGAGCACCAUGGCCAGCGUGUGUAGAGUCAUGCUGGAAACGCCGGAAUACAGAAGCAGGUUCACAAACGAAGAGACAGUGUCGUUCUGCUUGAGGGUAAUGGUGGGCGUCAUCAUACUCUAUGACCAUGUACAUCCAGUGGGAGCAUUUGCCAAAACC